CAUUAUUGAAAUAAACCUGAUGGGUUGCUGCUGGCUCUCUAGGGAGCAUGUGCACACUUGUCAUCUUUAUAUCUCCACCUGUGCACCUUUUGUAGAUCUGGAUAUCUUUCUGAAUGCCUGGCAUUCAGGUUUGAGGAUUGACUUUUGUCUUUCCUUACAUUUCCAGGCCUAUGUUUUCUUCAUAUACACCAUUUAUGUUAUAGAAUGUAAUGAAAAGGGCCUUUGUGCCUACAAACCUUAUACAACUUUCAGCAACGGAUCUCUUGGCUCUCGCAUCGAUGAAGAACGCAGCGAAAUGCGAUAAGUAAUGUGAAUUGCAGAAUUCAGUGAAUCAUCGAAUCUUUGAACGCACCUUGCGCUCCUUGGUAUUCCGAGGAGCAUGCCUGUUUGAGUGUCAUUGAUAUAUCAACCUCCUCAGGUUUUGACUUGUCGAGUGUUUGGAUGUGGGGGUCUUUUGCUGGUCUCUUUUGAGGUCGGCUCCCCUAAAAUGCAUUAGCGGAACAAUUUGUUGACCCGUUCAUUGGUGUGAUAACUAUCUACGCUUUGACGUGAAACAGGUUCAGCUUCUAACAGUCCAUUGACUUGGACAAAUUUUCAUUAAUGUG
rnacentral:rRNA from 1 species